rnacentral:rRNA from 1 species
UGCCUUAGUAACGGCGAGUGAAGCGGCAACAGCUCAAAUUUGAAAGCUGGCCCUUUUAGGGUCCGCGUUGUAAUUUGUAGAGGAUGAUUCGGCGAGGGCUCCUGCCUAAGUCCCCUGGAACGGGGCGUCAUAGAGGGUGAGAAUCCCGUAUGCGGUAGGUUGCCUUAGCCAUGUGAAUCUCCUUCGACGAGUCGAGUUGUUUGGGAAUGCAGCUCUAAAUGGGAGGUAAAUUUCUUCUAAAGCUAAAUACUGGCCAGAGACCGAUAGCGCACAAGUAGAGUGAUCGAAAGAUGAAAAGCACUUUGGAAAGAGAGUUAAAAAGUACGUGAAAUUGUUGAAAGGGAAGCGCUUGCAACCAGACUUGUCCGCAGUUGCUCAGCCGGUCUCCUGACCGGCGUACUCUUCUGCGGCCAGGCCAGCAUCAGUUCGGGCGGUCGGAUAAAGGCCUCGGGAAUGUAGCUCCUCUCGGGGAGUGUUAUAGCCCGGGGUGGAAUGCGACCAGCCUGGACUGAGGAUCUCGCUUCGGCAAGGAUGCUGGCGUAAUGGUUGUAAGCGGCCCGUCUUGAAACACGGACCAAGGAGUCUAACAUCUAUGCGAGUGUUCGGGUGUCAAACCCGUACGCGUAAUGAAAGUGAACGGAGGUGGGAACCCGCAAGGGUGCACCAUCGGCCGAUCCUGAUGUCUUCGGAUGGAUUUGAGCAAGAGCAUAGCUGUUGGGACCCGAAAGAUGGUGAACUAUGCCUGAAUAGGGUGAAGCCAGAGGAAACUCUGGUGGAGGCUCGCAGCGGUUCUGACGUGCAAAUCGAUCGUCAAAUUUGGGUAUAGGGGCGAAAGACUAAUCGAACCAUCUAG